rnacentral:rRNA from 1 species
UAAAGAGUUCUAUAACUCCCAAACCCAUGUGAACAUACCUAACGUUGCCUCGGCAGGUCGCACCUACCUUGUAGCACCCUACCCUGUAGGGCCUACCCGGGAGGUGCGGGUAAGCCUGCCGGCGGCCCACCAAACUCUGUUUGAUAUUGAAUUCUGAACCUAUAACUAAAUAAGUUAAAACUUUCAACAACGGAUCUCUUGGUUCUGGCAUCGAUGAAGAACGCAGCGAAAUGCGAUAAGUAAUGUGAAUUGCAGAAUUCAGUGAAUCAUCGAAUCUUUGAACGCAUAUUGCGCCCAUUAGUAUUCUAGUGGGCAGGACCGUUCGAGCGUCAUUUCAACCCUUAAGCCUUCGUUGCUUAGUGUUGGGAGCCUACGGCAACGUAGCUCCUCAAAGUUAGUGGCGGAGUUGGUUCACACUCUAGACGUAGUAAUUUUUUAUCUCGCCUAUUAGUUGGACUAAUCCCCUGCCGUAAAACCCCUAAUUUAUCAAGGUUGACCUCGAAUCGGUUCAGACAAACUCGCUAAAUUGAAGCAUCUUAGUCAGCGAAGGAAAAGAAACCAACAGGGAUUGCCCUAGUAACGGCGAGUGAAGCGGCAACAGCUCAAAUUUGA